GCCAAUACAAUGGCCAAAGCCCUACACUGAUGAAGUUCUUGAUGAGCUCAGUCAGAAAGGAGUUAUGAGUCUUCUGGCAGUUCCAGUCAGCCUUGUGAGUCAGCAGAUAUAAACACUGGGAGAGAUUGGUAUGGAGUGACGGGAGUUGGCUCUUGAAUCUGGCAUUCAAAACUGGGGGCAUGUAGCGGCCCUCAACUGCACACCUUCCUUCAUCAUGCUCUGGCAGAUGCUGCACUAGAAGCCUUACCUUCGGCAAUUGCUAUAUCUUCCUCAAGGAACAACUCCAAUGAAGACAACAAUGGCUUUGUGAGAUCUCAUUUGAGAAUUCAUGACGAUGCCACUGUCUUGAGAUAGUGUGAUAAUUUGACCAAACAUUUGUGUUGAGAAUACUGGUGAUCCAUGCAAAGACCAGAUGGAAUGCAAAAAUUGGAAAGCUGAUGAUUUGGCAACGAUUAUACUCUGGCAUACCAGGUUGGGCACUAUAAUGUUUGGUUGCUUAAUUCCAGCACUGAUGAAGCUCUCCUUGGGCUAGGCCAAAAUGGUGUCAUGAGUCUUCUGGCAUUUUCAGUCUGCUUUGUGAGUGAAUGCAUAAAAGCCCCUGAAGGCAUUUACAUGGAGUAAAGGGAGUUGGCUCUUGAAUGUGGCAAUCAAAAGUGGGGAUGUUUUCCUGCCCUCAGCUGCAUGUGUUCUGCCAUCACAGAUCUGGCAGAUGCAAUACUAGAAGUAUUGCCUUCAGCAACCGCUAUAUCUUCCCCAAGGAACAUCUCCAAUGAAGACAACAGUGACUUGAUUUUGGUGAUAGUGGUCUGUAUUAUGAUCCCAAGUGUAAAAUAUGAGAC